UUACAUCCUGGGCGAGAAACACGCUACAAUGGCCGGGACAGAGGGUUGCCAAGCGGUAACGCGGAGCUAAUCCCCCAAACCCGGUCUCAGUUCGGAUCGUGGGCUGCAACUCGCCCACGUGAAGGUGGAGUCGCUAGUAACCGCAGGUCAGCAGUACUGCGGUGAAUAUGUUCCCGGGGCCCGUU
rnacentral:rRNA from 1 species